rnacentral:rRNA from 1 species
UAGUGGCGAACGGGUGAGUAAUACGUGAGUAACCUGCCCUUGACUCUGGGAUAAGCCUGGGAAACUGGGUCUAAUACUGGAUACUACCUCUUGCCGCAUGGUGGGUGGUGGAAAGGGUUUUACUGGUUUUGGAUGGGCUCACGGCCUAUCAGCUUGUUGGUGGGGUAAUGGCUCACCAAGGCGACGACGGGUAGCCGGCCUGAGAGGGUGACCGGCCACACUGGGACUGAGACACGGCCCAGACUCCUACGGGAGGCAGCAGUGGGGAAUAUUGCACAAUGGGCGGAAGCCUGAUGCAGCGACGCCGCGUGAGGGAUGACGGCCUUCGGGUUGUAAACCUCUUUCAGUAGGGAAGAAGCGAGAGUGACGGUACCUGCAGAAGAAGCGCCGGCUAACUACGUGCCAGCAGCCGCGGUAAUACGUAGGGCGCAAGCGUUGUCCGGAAUUAUUGGGCGUAAAGAGCUCGUAGGCGGUUUGUCGCGUCUGCUGUGAAA